rnacentral:rRNA from 1 species
UACGAAGGGGGCUAGCGUUGCUCGGAAUUACUGGGCGUAAAGCGCACGUAGGCGGAUCGUUAAGUCAGGGGUGAAAUCCUGGAGCUCAACUCCAGAACUGCCUUUGAUACUGGCGACCUUGAGUUCGGGAGAGGUGAGUGGAACUGCGAGUGUAGAGGUGAAAUUCGUAGAUAUUCGCAAGAACACCAGUGGCGAAGGCGGCUCACUGGCCCGAUACUGACGCUGAGGCACGAAAGCGUGGGGAGCAAACAGG